CAGAAGUCCUCUCUCUAUCUCUGCAACUCUCUAAUAUGGUCGCUGUGUGACCAGCAAGUGCUCUCCUCUCUCCUUCUAUCUAAUUUUCCGCUGACCAGAAGUGCUCUCUCUCUCUCUCCUCUCUAAUUGUCCUGUGUGACCAGAAGUGCUCUCUCUCUCCUCUAUAAUUGUCCUGUGUGACCAGAAGUGCUCUCUCUCUCUCUCCUCUCUAAUUGUCCUGUGUGACCAGAAGUCCUCUCUCUCUCUCCUCUCUAAUUGUCCUGUGUGACCAGAAGUGCUC
rnacentral:lncRNA from 1 species